rnacentral:rRNA from 1 species
UACAGAGGUCUCAAGCGUUGUUCGGAAUCACUGGGCGUAAAGGGCGCGUAGGUGGCGUGGCAAGUCAGAUGUGAAAUCCGGAGGCUCAACCUCCGAAUUGCAUCCGAUACUCCCAUGCUAGAGAACUGGAGGGGAGUCUGGAAUUCUCGGUGUAGCAGUGAAAUGCGUAGAUAUCGAGAGGAACACUAGUGGCGAAGGCGAGACUCUGGACAGUUACUGACACUGAUGCACGAAGGUCAGGGGAGCGAACGGG